rnacentral:rRNA from 1 species
GUUUGAUCAUGGCUCAGAUUGAACGCUGGCGGCAGGCCUAACACAUGCAAGUCGAACGGUAACAGGAAGAAGCUUGCUUCUUUGCUGACGAGUGGCGGACGGGUGAGUAAUGUCUGGGAAACUGCCUGAUGGAGGGGGAUAACUACUGGAAACGGUAGCUAAUACCGCAUAACGUCGCAAGACCAAAGAGGGGGACCUUCGGGCCUCUUGCCAUCGGAUGUGCCCAGAUGGGAUUAGCUAGUAGGUGGGGUAAAGGCUCACCUAGGCGACGAUCCCUAGCUGGUCUGAGAGGAUGACCAGCCACACUGGAACUGAGACACGGUCCAGACUCCUACGGGAGGCAGCAGUGGGGAAUAUUGCACAAUGGGCGCAAGCCUGAUGCAGCCAUGCCGCGUGUAUGAAGAAGGCCUUCGGGUUGUAAAGUACUUUCAGCGGGGAGGAAGGGAGUAAAGUUAAUACCUUUGCUCAUUGACGUUACCCGCAGAAGAAGCACCGGCUAACUCCGUGCCAGCAGCCGCGGUAAUACGGAGGGUGCAAGCGUUAAUCGGAAUUACUGGGCGUAAAGCGCACGCAGGCGGCUUGUUAAGUCAGAUGUGAAAUCCCCGGGCUCAACCUGGGAACUGCAUCUGAUACUGGCAAGCUUGAGUCUCGUAGAGGGGGGUAGAAUUCCAGGUGUAGCGGCGAAAUGCGUAGAGAUCUGGAGGAAUACCGGUGGCGAAGGCGGCCCCCUGGACGAAGACUGACGCUCAGGUGCGAAAGCGUGGGGGAGCAAACAGGAUUAGAUACCCUGGUAGUCCACGCCGUAAACGAUGUCGACUUGGAGGUUGUGCCCUUGAGGCGUGGCUUCCGGAGCUAACGCGUUAAGUCGACCGCCUGGGGAGUACGGCCGCAAGGUUAAAACUCAAAUGAAUUGACGGGGGCCCGCACAAGCGGUGGAGCAUGUGGUUUAAUUCGAUGCAACGCGAAGAACCUUACCUGGUCUUGACAUCCACAGAACUUUCCAGAGAUGGAUUGGUGCCUUCGGGAACUGUGAGACAGGUGCUGCAUGGCUGUCGUCAGCUCGUGUUGUGAAAUGUUGGGUUAAGUCCCGCAACGAGCGCAACCCUUAUCCUUUGUUGCCAGCGGUCCGGCCGGGAACUCAAAGGAGACUGCCAGUGAUAAACUGGAGGAAGGUGGGGAUGACGUCAAGUCAUCAUGGCCCUUACGACCAGGGCUACACACGUGCUACAAUGGCGCAUACAAAGAGAAGCGACCUCGCGAGAGCAAGCGGACCUCAUAAAGUGCGUCGUAGUCCGGAUUGGAGUCUGCAACUCGACUCCAUGAAGUCGGAAUCGCUAGUAAUCGUGGAUCAGAAUGCCGCGGUGAAUACGUUCCCGGGCCUUGUACACACCGCCCGUCACACCAUGGGAGUGGGUUGCAAAAGAAGUAGAUAGCUUAACCUUCGGGAGGGCGCUUACCAC